rnacentral:rRNA from 1 species
CCUACGUGGGGCAGCAGUGGGGAAUAUUGGACAAUGGGGGGAACCCUGAUCCAGCGACGCCGCGUGCGUGAAGAAGUAUUUCGGUAUGUAAAGCUCUAUCAGCAGGGAAGAAAGAAAUGAGUGUCCCUGACUAAGAAGCCCGGGCUAACUACGUGCCAGCAGCCGGGGUAAUGCGUGGGGGGCAAGUGUUAUCCGGAUUUACGGGGUGUAAAGGGAGCGUAGACGGAGAUGCAAGUCUGAAGUGAAAGGCGGGGGCCUAACCCCCGGACUGCAUUGGAAACUGUAUGGCUGGAGUGCAGGAGAGGUAAGUGGAAUUCCUAGUGUAGCGGUGAAAUGCGUAGAUAUUAGGAGGAACACCAGUGGCGAAGGCGGCUUACUGGACUGUAACUGACGUUGAGGCACGAAAGCGUGGGGAGCAAACAGGAUUAGAUACCCCUGUAGUC